rnacentral:rRNA from 1 species
AUUGAACGCUGGCGGCAGGCCUAACACAUGCAAGUCGAACGAGUGGCGGACGGGUGAGUAAUGUCUGGGAAACUGCCAGAUGGAGGGGGAUAACUACUGGAAACGGUAGCUAAUACCGCAUACCAUCGGAUGUGCCCAGAUGGGAUUAGCUAGUAGGUGGGGUAACGGCUCACCUAGGCGACGAUACCUAGCUGGUCUGAGAGGCGGACCAGCCACACUGGAACGUAGACACGGUCCAGACACCUACGUGAGGCAGCAGUGGGGAAUAUUGAACAAUGGGCGCAAGCAUGAUGCAGCCCUGCCGCGUGUAUGAAGCAGGCCUUGGGGUUGUAAAGUACUUUCAGCGAGGAGGCGUUACUCGCAGAAGAAGCACCGGCUAACUCCGUGCCAGCAGCCGCGGUAAUAC